rfam:Triticum aestivum genome assembly, contig: Triticum_aestivum_CS42_TGACv1_scaffold_094092_2AL
AUAUCUUUCUCGACCUUUUGACUAAGAUCGAAUGUAGUAUCUGUUCUUAUCAGUUAAUGUCUUAUACGUGGAUUUUCAUGUCCACAUGAUAUUGAUUUAUUUUUUAUUUUGGAGAGGAUCCGCAUAUGUAGCGUGCUACAUGGGUCUUCACCAUCGCUCUAGCGUUCCAGUAUUGUGGGCCUAUGGGCCCCAG